GUCUAUGUAAUUUAAAUAAAAUACUGGUCUUGUAAAUCAGAAAUAGAAAAACAUUCUCUUAGACU
rnacentral:tRNA from 1 species